AAAUGAAUAGACGGGGGCCCGCACAAGCGGUGGAGCAUGUGGUUUAAUUCGAAGCUACGCGAAGAACCUUACCUGGGCUUGACAUCACCGCGAACCUGGCCGAAAGGCUGGGGUGCCCCUUUGGGGAGCGCGGUGACAGGUGCUGCAUGGUUGUCGUCAGCUCGUGUCGUGAGAUGUUGGGUUAAGUCCCGCAACGAGCGCAACCCCCGCCCUGUGUUGCCAGCGGUUCGGCCGGGCACUCACAGGGGACUGCCGGUGACAAACCGGAGGAAGGUGGGGAUGACGUCAAAUCAUCAUGGCCCUUAUGCCCAGGGCUACACACGUGCUACAAUGGCCGGUACAACGGGUUGCGAACCCGCGAGGGGGAGCCAAUCCCUAAAAGCCGGUCCCAGUUCGGAUCGCAGGCUGCAACUCGCCUGCGUGAAGCCGGAAUCGCUAGUAAUCGCGGAUCAGCAUGCCGCGGUGAAUACGUUCCCGGGCCUUGUACACACCGCCCGU
rnacentral:rRNA from 1 species